UACGUAGGGGGCUAGCGUUGUCCGGAUUUAUUGGGCGUAAAGCGCGCGCAGGCGGUCCUUUAAGUCUGAUGUGAAAGCCCACGGCUCAACCGUGGAGGGUCAUUGGAAACUGGGGGACUUGAGUGCAGAAGAGGAAAGCGGAAUUCCACGUGUAGCGGUGAAAUGCGUAGAGAUGUGGAGGAACACCAGUGGCGAAGGCGGCUUUCUGGUCUGUAACUGACGCUGAGGCGCGAAAGCGUGGGGAGCAAACAGG
rnacentral:rRNA from 1 species